GGAAUCUUCGGCAAUGGGGGCAACCCUGACCGAUCAACGCCGCGUGAGUGAAGAAGGUUUUCGGAUCGUAAAACUCUGUUGUUAGAGAAGAACGUUAAGUACAGUGGAAAGUUACUUAAGUGACGGUAUCUAACCAGAAAGGGACGGCUAACUACGUGCCAGCAACCGCGGUAAUACGUAGGUCCCGAGCGUUGUCCGGAUUCAUUGGGCGUAAAGCGAGCGCAGGUGGUUCCUUAAGUCUGAUGUAAAAGGCAGUGGCUCAACCAUUGUGUGCAUUGGAAACUGGGGAACUUGAGUGCAGGA
rnacentral:rRNA from 1 species